AGUCAUCAGUGGUUUCUCAGUCGAUGAAGUCAAUCGGAGGGAGAAAGGAGACACAGCAGAUAAUCGGAUGGACAGAUAACGACGAAAAUGAAAAUGCAAGGACCUGGAGAGAGCCCCAUGCCUAUCUCUGAUAACUGCCCUCAGAAGUGCUUGUUAUCGUCGAUAUAGCCGGACACAAUCGUAUUGCUGAUCUGAUAGCGUUCUCUAAACCGCCCUCUUUUUGUUGGCGUCUACUGCACACACCGCCCGCUCGUCAGCAUGUCUCUCCGAUGCGCUCAUAUCUUGGCUUUUUUCAUCGUUAACCUGGAUUCACCCUUGACCCAGGCUGCUGUUUUCAGGAUUAGCAAAGGCGAAUGGAAGUCCUACGAGCCCCUGAGCAUAAAGGCGAAUCUUGGAAACGCGACGAUUCUUGACAAGAAGCCAAAGCAAGAUUCGAAACAAAUUUCACCUGAUA